UACGUCUCUGCUGCGACGUGUACACGGGUGACUCCUGCUCAUCCAAUCGCCGCUUCAUUCUGAACUCAUGCUCGGGAAGCACUAAAAAACCUCGAAGCGGCGGCGCCCAGCGGAGGCACGCUCCCUCCCGGCUGUGGGCUCGGGGUGGGCGCGGCCCCGCGCUCGGCCCGCGGGGAAAGCGAGGGGCGCGGAUGGGGUAACCGCCGCUCGGCCGCCGCGGCGGAACGCUGCCCGCU
rnacentral:lncRNA from 1 species